ensembl:misc_RNA Metazoa_SRP Metazoan signal recognition particle RNA
GCUGGGCAUGGUGGUGCACGCCUGUAGUCCCAGCUACUCGGGAGGCUGAGGCAGGAGAAUCGCUUGAACCCGGGAGGUGGAGGUUGCAGGGAGCCGAGAUGGCGCCACUGCACUCCAGCCUGGGCGACAGAGCGAGACUCUGCCUCAA